rnacentral:rRNA from 1 species
ACGGGUGAGUAACACGUGGAUAACCUACCUAUAAGACUGGGAUAACUUCGGGAAACCGGAGCUAAUACCAGAUAACAUGUUGAACCGCAUGGUUCAACAGUGAAAGACGGUCUUGCUGUCACUUAUAGAUGGAUCCGCGCCGCAUUAGCUAGUUGGUAAGGUAACGGCUUACCAAGGCAACGAUGCGUAGCCGACCUGAGAGGGUGAUCGGCCACACUGGAACUGAGACACGGUCCAGACUCCUACGGGAGGCAGCAGUAGGGAAUCUUCCGCAAUGGGCGAAAGCCUGACGGAGCAACGCCGCGUGAGUGAUGAAGGUCUUCGGAUCGUAAAACUCUGUUAUUAGGGAAGAACAAAUGUGUAAGUAACUAUGCACGUCUUGACGGUACCUAAUCAGAAAGCCACGGCUAACUACGUGCCAGCAGCCGCGGUAAUACGUAGGUGGCAAGCGUUAUCCGGAAUUAUUGGGCGUAAAGCGCGCGUAGGCGGUUUUUUAAGUCUGAUGUGAAAGCCCACGGCUCAACCGUGGAGGGUCAUUGGAAACUGGAAAACUUGAGUGCAGAAGAGGAAAGUGGAAUUC